AAGUCGAGCGGUAACAGGAAGCAGCUUGCUGCUUUGCUGACGAGUGGCGGACGGGUGAGUAAUGUCUGGGAAACUGCCUGAUGGAGGGGGAUAACUACUGGAAACGGUGGCUAAUACCGCAUAACGUCGCAAGACCAAAGAGGGGGACCUUCGGGCCUCUUGCCAUCAGAUGUGCCCAGAUGGGAUUAGCUGGUUGGUGAGGUAACGGCUCACCAAGGCGACGAUCCCUAGCUGGUCUGAGAGGAUGACCAGCCACACUGGAACUGAGACACGGUCCAGACUCCUACGGGAGGCAGCAGUGGGGAAUAUUGCACAAUGGGCGCAAGCCUGAUGCAGCCAUGCCGCGUGUAUGAAGAAGGCCUUCGGGUUGUAAAGUACUUUCAGC
rnacentral:rRNA from 1 species